rnacentral:rRNA from 1 species
UGGGAAUAUUGGACAAUGGGCGAAAGCCUGAUCCAGCCAUGCCGCGUGUGUGAAGAAGGUCUUCGGAUUGUAAAGCACUUUAAGUUGGGAGGAAGGGCAGUUACCUAAUACGUGAUUGUCUUGACGUUACCGACAGAAUAAGUACCGGCUAACUCUGUGCCAGCAGCCGCGGUAAUACAGAGGGUGCAAGCGUUAAUCGGAAUUACUGGGCGUAAAGCGCGCGUAGGUGGUUUGUUAAGUUGGAUGUGAAAUCCCCGGGCUCAACCUGGGAACUGCAUUCAAAACUGACAGGCUAGAGUAUGGUAGAGGGUGGUGGAAUUUCCUGUGUAGCGGUGAAAUGCGUAGAUAUAGGAAGGAACACCAGUGGCGAAGGCGACCACCUGGACUAAUACUGACACUGAGGUGCGAAAAGCGUGGGGAGCAAAACAGGAUUANAUACCCCUGGUAGUCCACGCCGUAAAACGAUGUCAACCAGCCGUUGGGNGCCUUGAGCUCUUAGUGGCGCAGCUAACGCAUUAA